AACGCACGAGACCUGCGGACCUGCGGAAGGAUCAUUACUGAGUGAGGGCCCUCUGGGUCCAACCUCCCACCCGUGUUUAACGAACCUUGUUGCUUCGGCGGGCCCGCCUCACGGCCGCCGGGGGGCAUCCGCCCCCGGGCCCGCGCCCGCCGAAGACACCUGUGAACUCUGUCUGAAGUUGCAGUCUGAGAAACUAUUUAAAUUAGUUAAAACUUUCAACAAUGGAUCUCUAGAUCGGAA
rnacentral:misc_RNA from 1 species